rnacentral:rRNA from 1 species
UACAGAGGUCUCAAGCGUUGUUCGGAUUCAUUGGGCGUAAAGGGUGCGUAGGUGGCGCUGUAAGUCAGGUGUGAAAUUUCGGAGCUUAACUCCGAAACUGCAUUUGAUACUGCGGUGCUUGAGGACUGGAGAGGAGACUGGAAUUUACCGGUGUAGCAGUGAAAUGCGUAGAGAUCGUAAGGAAGACCAGUGGCGGAAGGCGGGUCUCCUGGACAGUUCCUGACACUGAGGCACGAAGGCCAGGGGAGCAAACGGG